ACGGAAGGCAGCAGUGGGGAAUAUUGCACAAUGGGGGAAACCCUGAUGCAGCGACGCCGCGUGAGUGAAGAAGUUAUUCGUAAUGUAAAGCUCUAUCAGCAGGGAAGAAAAUGACGGUACCUGACUAAGAAGCCCCGGCUAACUACGUGCCAGCAGCCGCGGUAAUAAGUAGGGGGCAAGCGUUAUCCGGAUUUACUGGGUGUAAAGGGAGCGUAGACGGUCUAGCAAGUCUGAUGUGAAAGGCAGGGGCUCAACUCCUGGACUGCAUUGGAAACUGUUAGUCUUGAGUGUCGGAGAGGUAAGCGGAAUUCCUAGUGUAGCGGUGAAAUGCGUAGAUAUUAGGAGGAACACCAGUGGCGAAGGCGGCUUACUGGACGAUAACUGACGUUGAGGCUCGAAAGCGUGGGGAGCAAACAGGAUUAGAUACCCUGGUA
rnacentral:rRNA from 1 species